UACAGAGGGUGCAAGCGUUGUUCGGAUUCAUUGGGCGUAAAGGGUGCGUAGGCGGCGCGGUAAGUCGGGUGUGAAAUCUUGGAGCUUAACUCCGAAACUGCAUUCGAUACUGCCGUGCUUGAGGACUGGAGAGGAGACUGGAAUUUACGGUGUAGCGGUGAAAUGCGUAGAUAUCGUAAGGAAGACCAGUGGCGAAGGCGGGGUCUCUGGACAGUUCCUGACGCUGAGGCACGAAGGCCAGGGGAGCAAACGGG
rnacentral:rRNA from 1 species